rnacentral:rRNA from 1 species
ACGGGAGGCAGCAGUAGGGAAUAUUGGUCAAUGGAGGAAACUCUGAACCAGCAACACCGCGUGAAUGAUGAAGGUCUUCGGAUUGUAAAGUUCUGUGAUGGGGGACGAAAAAAAUGACGGUACCCCAAGAGCAAGCUCCGGCUAACUACGUGCCAGCAGCCGCGGUAAUACGUAGGGAGCAAGCGUUGUCCGGAAUGACUGGGCGUAAAGGGUACGUAGGUGGCUAUUCAAGUUGGUGGUGAAAUUCCGAGGCUUAACUUCGGCGCUACCACCAAGACUGUUUAGCUUGAGUGCAGGAGGGGUAAGUGGAAUUCCUAGUGUAGCGGUGGAAUGCGUAGAUAUUAGGAAGAACACCAGUGGCGAAGGCGACUUACUGGACUGUAACUGACACUGAAGUACGAAAGCGUGGGGAGCAAACAGGAUUAGAUACCCUGGUA